AAGCUCGUAGUUGAAUUUCGGGGUUAGUAGGUUGGUCAUGCCUCUGGUAUGUACUGGUCCCACUGAUUCCUCCUUCCUUAUGAACCGUAAUGCCAUUAAUUUGGUGUCGCGGGGAAUUUGGACUGUUACUUUGAAAAAAUUAGAGUGUUUAAAGCAAGCUAACGCUUGAAUACAUUAGCAUGGAAUAAUGAAAUAGGACGUUCGAUCUUAUUUUGUUGGUUUCUUAGGAUUGACGUAAUGAUUAAUAGGGAUAGUUGGG
rnacentral:rRNA from 1 species